UCCCCACUCACAACCCAAGAAACUCUGCUGUCUGUAGUGGUUAUUUAAACAGUGGUGUGCACAGCAAGGAUCUUCCACAGUC
ensembl:snoRNA